CGUACAAAAACCUCCUGCGCUGUGAACGAGCAUCUAUCCACUGACAACAACCUCUGCUUCUUCAAAUAACACAGAAAACAUCUUCCUUUUUACUUCAAGUAUUUUGCGGAUAUGGAAGGAAAAUAAACAUAAAUUAUUUAAUUUUUUUCAAGUUUCAUUAGUUUCCUACACAUAGAUAAAGAACUAAUUAAUCCUUUUGUCUAUUAAAUCUUUUUUUCCCCCAAUUUUUUUCACAGUUAAAUGAACAGUGUACUUUAAUAUUAAUAGUUUACAAACUCACAAUUAAUCAUAGCUGUAAUUUAUUUAUCGGCAAGAGACUGUGUUAUUACAUUAAAGGCAAACAGAUAAAUCAUACCAAUAACAGUGUAUACAAACCGGUCAUUAAAUCCUCAACUGCACUUCUAAUAUUAAUAUUUCCUUUUAUUCCAAUAAGAUCAUAUAUAGAUGUUGUAAAUCCAAGUAGUGAUGCUCCUGGUUUUGUGUCACACGUUGCCUUCAGUCUGUUCAUUUCCAUAGAGUGGAGGCUUUGCAUCGUCAGCUGACCCUCCAGUGAACUGAGAAGGUUUAUAGUCCUGUGAGUUCAGCGCUGCAGGACUCAGACCCGUCACGUCGACACAGCAGAAACCACAAACCACCAUGACUCUCAUCGUCACCAUCCUCAUCUGGACGCUGGCCUGCUGCAGCUUCACAGGAUGCAGCGGCCAGGUGACUGUGACUCAGCCUCCAGAAGUGACAUCUACUCCAGGAUCCACUGUCACUCUGACCUGUAAAACCAGCUCUGCUGUUGCAACGUGUGGUGGUGGUGCUCCGUGUAUGUUCUGGUACCAACAGAAACCUGGACAGACCCCAAAGCUCCUAAUAAGAAAAGGGAGCACAAGACAUUCGGGAACACCAGCUCGGUUCAGUGGCAGCGGAAGCAGCUCUGACUUCUCUCUGACCAUCGGUGGAGUUCAGACUGAAGAUGCAGCAGUUUACUACUGCAAGAGUAUCCAUUUAAUAAACGGAGCAGAUGUGUACACUUUCGGUGGAGGAACCAAACUCAUCCUUGACUUGGGUGUGGUGCGGCCCACCCUGACCGUCCUCCCCCCCUCCAGUGAAGAGCUGAAGAAGGACAGUGUCACACUGGUGUGUCUGGCCAGCGGGGGCUUCCCCUCAGCCUGGAGCCUGGCCUGGAAGGUGGGGGGCAGCAGCAGCUCCUCAGGGGUGUCACGCAGCCUGGCCCUCCUGGGGAGCGGCGGCCACUACAGCUGGAGCAGCACCCUGAGCCUCCCUGCAGACCAGUGGAGGAAGGCGGGCUCAGUGAGCUGUGAGGCCAGUCUGACUGGACAGAGCCCUGUCACUCAAACCCUGGACCCUGACCGCUGCUCAGAGUAGAGCUCCAUCAACACUUCCAGUGUGAUAUGAUAUUCAUCCUUUGAUAGAAAUCAUGGUGAAGCUACAGAUCUCCUCUUAUCAGAUAUAGUCUGCAGGUUUUUACAACUUUCUUCUGUGUAUUAGUGUCUAUGUUGUUUUCACAAAUCUGAUCAUCUGCAUAUUCUGCUUCAUGUUCAUCAAAGGAAACUGAUUCUUAUUUGUUUUCAUUCCAAUAAAAACUGUUCAUUCAUCAAAAAUAUGUUGCCAACAUAUAAUCAUUAUUAAAUAAAACUGCGUUAUAAUAAAUCAAA